rnacentral:miRNA from 1 species
CAGCACAUCGCUGAACUGAAGCC